rnacentral:misc_RNA from 1 species
GAUGAAGAACGUAGCGAAAUGCGAUAAGUAAUGUGAAUUGCAGAAUUCAGUGAAUCAUCGAAUGUUUGAACGCACAUUGCGCCCGCUAGUAUUCUGGCGGGCAUGCCUGUCCGAGCGUCAUUUCAACCCUCAAGCCCCCGGGCUUGGUGUUGGGGAUCGGCGAGCCUCCGCGCCCGCCGUCCCCUAAAUCUAGUGGCGGUCUCGCUGUAGCUUCCUCUGCGUAGUAGCACACCUAGCACUGGGAAACAGCGCGGCCACGCCGUUAAACCCCCAACUUCUGAACGUUUGACCUCGGAUCAGGUAGGAAUACCCGCUGAACUUAAGCAUAUCAAUAAGCGGAGGA